CCCGCCCAGAACGCGGGGAAGGUUUAGGGAGACGGUUGCUCCUGGACCAGCUCCUGGAAGAGGAACACGGCCUGGGGUCAGGGCCGCCGCUUGACCGCGGCUCGGCUGCCGCUGCCGGGCAGUCAAGGGGGCGCUGGUGGGGGCGCGCUGCUCGGGGAGCCGGCAGAUGCACAAAGCAGGGUCAUCUGAAGCCUCUCAAUUCCAAAGAUGAUAAUAGUGAAAAGCUGUGAAGUGACAGUGAAUCCUUGGCAUAUGAAGAAAGAUUGUAAAGUCCUGAAUGAAUUAAGAAGAGAAAACAUGAGCCUAUGAAUCGAACCUCAUCUGUGAUGGUCUGCAGCUGGGAGCAACCAGAUCAGUGUCAGUCCCUUUGCAGCCAUUGGCUGGAGCCUGCAUGUUACCUGGAAUGAUAUUUGAAACAGGUCACUCUAGCCGUUCAUUCGCUGUGGGCUGGGAGGCGAGUCAGUCAGAAUCUGCAUUAUGGAAUAUAUGUUUCGGAUCCAAAGCUAGGAGAUCUUUUUUAAUAGCCAGAGAAUGUAGUCAUAAAUAUAUCUAUUAAUGUAUUUAUGCAAGAAAAUUUUUAAGGAUUUUUUUAUUAUAAAAAUUUACCCCCCAAAUUUGAAAAUGAAAGAACAGUGGAAUUAAAAAUCAUCUGUACCUUAA